CCCUUAGUCCUUUGCCACGCCUGACCUCACGCCGCCCCCCACCCAAACCCCCCUUUAAAACCCGCCACCGUCGCCACCGACUCGCCAUCACCCGACCACAGAGAGAGCUUUAUUCCCCCGGAAAGAAAGCAGUGACGGCGAGAGGGCGGGGGCGAAGAAAGUCCGGCGAAGCGGCGGUCGCGGCGGCGGAGGAUGCCGGGCGCGGUGAAGGCCGGGAGCCGGCCGCCGUGGCUUGGGCUGGGGGCGGCCGUGUGGCUGCAGGCGUCGGCGGGGACCAGCUCCGCCUUCGCGCUCUACUCGCACGCGCUCAAGGUGGCGCUCGGCGCCGACCAGAGCCGCGUCGCGCUGCUCGGCGUCGCCUGCAACGUCGGGGACAGCCUCGGCCUCCUCCCCGGCGUCGUCUGCAACAAGCUCCACCCGGCCCUGCUCCUGCUCGUCGCCGCCGCCUCCGGCCUCCUCGGCUACGGGGUCACCUGGCUCGCCGUCUCCGGCGUCGCCCCGGCGCUGCCCUACUGGCUGAUAUGGAUCGCAUUAUGCAUGGGUUCGAACAGCGGUGCGUGGAUGUCGACCGCCGCAUUAGUAACCAACAUGAGGAACUUCCCACUCAGCAGAGGGGCUGUUGCCGGCAUCCUCAAAGGCUACUCUGGUCUGAGUGCGGCUGUAUACACUGCCAUUUACACCGGCGCGCUUCACGGCUCAGCUGCAAACCUCUUGCUUUUUCUCACCCUGGGAGUUGCCAUCGUUUGCCUUCUCGCAAUGUACUUUGUGAGGCCUUGUGAGCCUUCUCUGGUGGAGAAUUCCUCGGAGCGAGUUCACUUCCUGUUCGUACAGAUCAACAGUGCUCUUCUUGGGGUUUAUCUCGUGGUGGCCACGACGUUGGAUCGUUUUCUGACUCUCACCCCUGCUUUGAACUAUUCCUUGAUUGCUAUUAUGGUCAUUCUCAUUCUUGCACCAUUUGCGAUACCCGUGAAGAUGACAUUGUUUCGAAGCGUCCCAAGGAAAGUCACUUCUGCUGCUGCUGACAAUGAUCACACGGAACCAUUUCUUCUGCCUUCUUCCUCUGAACCAAAUUUCGGCAAAAUCGAAGAUGAGGAUGCUGCAGAUAUUGAUCUUCUCUUAGCUGAGGGUGAAGGGGCUGUGAAGCAGAAGAGAAGAAGACCAAAAAGGGGAGAGGACUUCCGGUUCCGUGAAGCUCUGCUAAAGGCAGAUUUCUGGUUGCUCUUUGCAGUGUUUUUUAUAGGUGUUGGGUCUGGAGUCACCGUUCUUAACAAUCUAGCGCAAGUUGGAACUGCAGCAGGUGUUGUUGGCACAACUAUAUCAGUCUCUCUCUUCAGUUUGGGCAACUUCUUUGGCCGCUUAGGAGGUGGUGCUGUUUCUGAUUAUUUUGUCAGGUCAAGGACACUUCCACGGACAGUACUGAUCACAUGCACCCAAGUGGUGAUGAUAAUCAACUACCUAGUCUUCGCUCUGGGUCUCAAAGCCACGCUCUACAUCUCCGUUGCCAUACUCGGCAUCUGCUACGGCGUCCAUUUCUCGGUGAUGGUGUCGACGUCAUCGGAGUUGUUUGGGCUAAAGCAGUUUGGGAAGAUCUACAACUUCAUCUUGCUGGCAAACCCGCUUGGCGCGCUCGUGUUCAGCAGCCUCGCCGGGUAUGUCUACGAUCAUGAAGCGGCAAAACAGCACAGCGUCGCAGCAGUGGCGGGCUCUGACCAUGUCAUGGUAUGCUACGGCCCCAGCUGUUUCAGGCUCACGUUCUUUGUGCUGUCAGGCAUGGCAUGCUUGGGAACGUUUCUGAGCGUGAUCCUGACCGUGAGGAUCCGACCGGUCUAUCAGAUGCUCUAUGGAGGUGGACCCUCGAGCCAGCCCAGGAACUCUGCGCAUUGAUGCCCGGUGACCGUGAUCCUACCAGUUUCUGGAGAGGAAGAAAAUAUAUUCCGGUUGCUUUUGACUCCACUGCAAGUUUGUAGUUGUGAAAAUCACUGGAUGUCACACUGGCAGCCAUUCACAAUUCCUCGCAGUUGGUUUGCUCCUUGACUUCAACUCUUGAAAUGGGCUGUGUUAAGGCUACAACGAACUAAUUUGCUUGCAUGCUGGAGGCCAAGUUCUGGGACAAUGAUAAGAAGAGGUUCCAAUCGGACGCCAUCAGGAAGGACCUUGACGCACAGGUCUUCUGCAGUGGCGAUGAAGAGUGGUGGUGGUGCAUAGCUAACAGCGGUGUUUGAAUUAAUCAACUGAUGGACAGAAUUGUGUACAAUCUGGAAAUUUCAACAAGGUAUGCCGGCAUGGCCAAAACCCAUAAAUUGGGCUGAGAGUUGGUGCAUAUUUUGACUAGUUUUCGCAAUGUAGGACUACAGAGUGUGUAUCUUGAUGCACUCCGUCGCAAUGUUCAAUCUGAACAUAUGAAUAUAACAUCCAUGGAUUAUGCCAAGUUACCCCUGACCAUGGUUUCGCUAGAAACCUGUGAAAACUGGUGUACACUUUCAUUAUUUUGACUCCAUAACACAGUGAAAAUUGGCUAGCUUUCAAAUUGUUUUCUUAAUGUGUUAUUAGGUAAUUAACGGAUAGAAAUGUAGGCUACUCCUCAUGAUGUUACUCACAGUGGAAUUUGGUUCAAUUAGGUUCCACCGUUCCAAAGCAUGUGCAUGUGCAUGUGCUGGCAUGCUUACUUGAACCAGCUAAUUGAUGAUUUUUUAUUUUAGGAUAACUUGAAUGGUAAGUUUUGUUGUCCAGGCAAAUCCUUUUUACAAUCAUUUCCAUCAAUCGUUGUUAGUGUCUUCCUUUGCGCAUGCACUGCCUUUUACAUCUAUGAUGCAUAUUGCUUGCAUGCUUACGUGAACCAACUCAUUGUAUUUUUGU